GCAGAAGUGGCGGAACGGCAGACGCGCUGUCUUCAGGCGGCAGUAAGAGCAAUCUUGUGAGGGUUCAAAUCCCUUCUUCUGCACCA
rnacentral:tRNA from 1 species